CACUUUAGCUCUAAGUCAAACUUGUCUAACUUUGACCAGGUUUAUAGAAAAAUAUAAUAACAUCUACAGUACCAAAUAAAUGCACCACCAAUACAUAUUUCAUGGUGAAUUCAAUGAACUAACCUGAUGCUGUAAAUAUAUUGCUUUUUUCUAUAAGCUUGGUCAAACUUAGAGUAGUUUGACUUGGGACAAAUAUAA
rnacentral:pre_miRNA from 1 species